GCGCAUGAGUCUGAGCCGU
rnacentral:misc_RNA from 1 species